GUGCUCUCUUUGGCAGCACAUAUACAAAAAUUGAAACAAUACAGAGAAGAUUAGCAUGGCCCCUGCACAAGGCUGACAUGCAAAUUCAAGAAGUGUUCCAUAUUUUA